rnacentral:lncRNA from 1 species
UCCUAGUAGACCUCCUAACACCUUUGAUCAUGAAAAGGUGGCCACCAAUUGAAAUGGGAACAUUAUUACUUUCUAUUGGAAAGUAAUAAUGAAUAAAUAAAUAAUAAUGAUAAAGAAUCACUGUGAAUGUAAAAUUUAAUUUAUAUAAAAAUGUCUGAUUUUUUUUCUUUUUGUAGGUGGGUAUUAUGUGCAAAUCAUACAGAACCAGUGAAAGGCUUUUUAGGCAGAUAUCUUCGAAGAAAACUCAUAGAGAUAGAAAUUGAAAGGAACAUUCGCAAUAAUGACCUAGUCAAAAUUAUAGAUUGGAUUCCGAAGACGUGGCAUCAUCUCAACAGUUUUUUGGAAACACACAGUUCUUCUGACGUUACCAUUGGUCCCCGACUAUUCCUUCCUUGCCCCAUGGAUGUAGAAGGUUCUAGAGUAUGGUUCAUGGAUCUCUGGAACUAUUCUUUAGUACCUUAUA